GAUCUGGUUGGGUGGUCCGCCUGACGGCGUGUUUACUGCUUGACCGGGUCUUGCCUCUUGGUGAACCGUUGUGUUCUUUAUUGAAUGCUCCGGGGAACCAGGACUUUUACCUUGAGAAAAUUAGAGUGUUCAAAGCAGGCCUAUGCCUGAAUACAUUAGCAUGGAAUAAUAAAAUAGGACGUGUGGUUCUAUUUUGUUGGUCUUUUAGAGCUGCCGUAAUGAUUAAUAGGGAUAGUUG
rnacentral:rRNA from 1 species